ensembl:lncRNA
CCAUAGUUGCACCAAUCACGUUAAAGGUCAAAUUGUCAUGUGCCAUAGUUGCACCAAUCUCAUUAAAGGUCAAAUUGUCAUGUGCCUUCAUUAUAAGGAGAGUCUAUGGUGAUCAUGCGCUGUCCACGUGCAGGGAAAUCAAGAGAGCCAAUCAAAAACUGUAACAUAGACCAUGCCCCUAUCUCUUCUGCCAGGCGUCAUCUUAGAUUCCCACCACAAAACUAACCCAUCUUUUUUAAGCUUUCCCAUUUAGGGCCCCACAUCUCCCCCUUUUUUAUUUUAUUUAAGCCCUCGAGACAUUUGCAUUGAUGUUUUGUAGAGCAAGGCGUAAAGCUGUAGGCGGCCAACCUCCAGCCUCGCCAGCCCCUCUCGUGGCUGUGCCUGUCUUAGGUUGCCCUCCUCUGAGGGUCUUACCUGUCAUUGGCUAUCCAGCCACCUCUUGGGGGCUAGGCGGAAUCUCUCUAGAUGAUGGGCAUCUAGAACUCUUAUUUAUCUGUCUCGGUUAAUCUCCUGAAGGGCUAAAUUAAUCCAGGGGUUUUGUGGGUGCCUAACAUGGGGCUCCUUUUCCAUGACCUGGGCAAGCAUAACUAUUUUUUGCUAUAAGCGCCUAUUGCGGGCUGUGAGAUUUUUUACCUUUAACAUUACAACAAGCAGAAUAACAAACAAGCAAAUAGAAGGCAUUUUUAAACCAGGUAAAUGGACUUUGUACCCAAUCCCAUAGGUCCGUUGCUCCCUUUUUCACCUGUUAAGAGUCUCAUUUAACACUGGAAAAGCUGUCAGACAAAAGCUGGGGUAGCUCACAUCGCAGUCUAUGCACGCCAAGACACUCAACGUCUCGAUCGCUCUAGCGUGGAGAUCAAGCUGUUGUUGGAGUCCCAUUAUGGCGAAUCUCAGGUGUUUGAGCUGGUUUGAAAUCCUUGAGCAGAGGCAGUGGAUAUGUUGUUUAUAACCUCGGUGGUCUGAGCUUGUUGAACUCGAUGGAUGCUGACACUGUUGUACCCUCAUGGUUGAUGGCCUUGUAUGUCGUUAAAUCCAGGCUUCAAAGAUUCUAAAAACUGUUGCACAGCCGUGGCAAUGAUGAAGGUCAGCAAGGAGAGGAUAGGUAAUCCGACUAUCGCCAGGAGCAGCGUCCACCACGGUCGCCGCAUCGAUGAUCUGAAAGGGAAGAAAAGAUCGCCACAGGAACUUUUUGUUCUUGGGCUCAAUAUGUGAGUGUCUCUUUAAUCUGU